UACGUAGGGGGCAAGCGUUGUCCGGAUUUAUUGGGCGUAAAGAGCGUGUAGGCGGCCUGAAAGGUCAGCUGUGAAAACUCGAGGCUCAACCUCGAGACGUCGGUUGAAACCAUCUGGCUAGAGUCCGGAAGAGGAGUGUGGAAUUCCCGGUGUAGCGGUGAAAUGCGUAGAGAUCCGGAAGAACACCGGUGGCGAAGGCGGUCUGCUGGGCCAAGACUGACGCUGAGGCGCGACAGCGUGGGGAGCAAACAGGG
rnacentral:rRNA from 1 species